GCGAACGCUGGCGGCAGGCCUAAUACAUGCAAGUCGAGCGGCCCUUCGGGGCAGCGGCGGACGGGUGAGUAACGCGUGGGAACGUGCCCUUUGGUACGGAACAACUGAGGGAAACUUCAGCUAAUACCGUAUGUGCCCUUCGGGGGAAAGAUUUAUCGCCAUUGGAGCGGCCCGCGUUAGAUUAGCUAGUUGGUAGGGUAAUGGCCUACCAAGGCGACGAUCUAUAGCUGGUCUGAGAGGAUGAUCAGCCACACUGGGACUGAGACACGGCCCAGACUCCUACGAGAGGCAGCAGUAGGGAAUCUUGCGCAAUGGGCGAAAGCCUGACGCAGCCAUGCCGCGUGAAUGAUGAAGGUCUUAGGAUUGUAAAAUUCUUUCACCGGGGACGAUAAUGACGGUACCCGGAGAAGAAGCCCCGGCUAACUUCGUGCCAGCCGCCGCAAUAACAC
rnacentral:rRNA from 1 species